rnacentral:rRNA from 1 species
UACGGAGGAUCCAAGCGUUAUCCGGAUUUAUUGGGUUUAAAGGGUGCGUAGGCGGCCUGUUAAGUCAGGGGUGAAAGACGGUAGCUCAACUAUCGCAGUGCCCUUGAUACUGAUGGGCUUGAAUGAACUAGAGGUAGGCGGAAUGUGACAAGUAGCGGUGAAAUGCAUAGAUAUGUCACAGAACACCAAUUGCGAAGGCAGCUUACUAUGGUUUUAUUGACACUGAGGCACGAAAGCGUGGGGAUCAAACAGG